GCUUGUCUCAAAGAUUAAGCCAUGCAUGUCUAAGUAUAAGCAAACUUGUACUGUGAAACUGCGAAUGGCUCAUUAUAUCAGUUAUAGUCUACUCGAUAGUACCUUACUACUUGGAUAACCGUAGUAAUUCUAGAGCUAAUACAUGCGUCAAACCUCGACUUCUGGGAGAGGUGUAUUUAUUAGAUGGAAACCAAUGCGGGGCAACCCGGUAUAUGGUGAUUCAUAAUAACUUUCGGAUCGAUCUUCGGAUCGAUGCAUCAUUCAAGUUUCUGCCCUAUCAGCUUUGGAUGGUAGGGUAUUGGCCUACCAUGGCUUUAACGGGUAACGGAGAAUUAGGGUUCGAUUCCGGAGAGGGAGCCUGAGAAAUGGCUACCACAUCCAAGGAA
rnacentral:rRNA from 1 species